UAUGACCGUGGGAUGGGGAAUAAAUAUAUAUAUAAAAUAGACUCAUCAAAGCCCAAUUUAAAAAAAACCCUAAAACACGGAAAAUUCAAUACCCCCACCCACAUUGAAGUAACGUCACUUCAAUUCAAAACCUUCUUCUACUCUCUUAUUUUCUCUCUCCUCUAGUUCAUUUUCUCUCACUAAAAAUCUGGAAAAAUCACAAUGGACAUUAGAGAUGAAAUGCAAAAUCAGAAGGAUCGUCCCAAGAAGAGAAAAAUAAAAAAUACCGGAAAUCAAGAAGAUAUGCCGCUAAAUAAAGUGUUUGGCACCAAAAAGAAGAAAGUUGCAAAGAGUCCUACUGUAGAUCCAAAAUUACUCAAUGAGAUUUCGAAAUAAGUUGUUGAAGAAGAGGAAAAUCGAUCAAAACAAAAGAGUUAACAAUGAAGUCGAACCACCAAAAGAAGGGGAAAAACAACCACAAGACGAUCAAAAGAUGCAAGAAAAGAAGGGGAAAAACAACCAGAAAAACCUUCUAAAGAAGAACAAAAGGUUCAAUCAAAAGCAACAGAGUUACCAAAAAAAAGGGAAUAUUUCAAGCAUUACCCCAAGCUUGAACCCCACUGUGAUCA